ACAAAACCCCAAACAACACAGGAAUUUUUUUCUGUUCCUCUACAUGCUUGGUCUCUGUUAAUUUGCCACUGUUCCAAAUUACACUGAAAUCCAAAGGAAAAGGGAACAAGCUGAAAGGUCCCAACCUGUCUACUCAAAGAUCUGUGUAGGUGUUCAUCUUUUAGGGGGACAUCUUGCUUCAUUUUUUCUGUCAGUAGAAGCUGGAGAUGCCUUUGCA